GCUGAAGUUGUAAGAUUGAAAACAGGAUUUCCCACGUUCCACUCUAUUUAGCCCAGCUCGGCCCAGAGCAAUGGGACCUCAAAAGUCCUUUUCUCUCGCCGUCUCUUAUGUCGGCACCUUUACCAACUUAACAUGGAAAUUGCAUUUAUCCAUGCCUUUCCCGAGGAAAAUGUUUACAUGGCUCAAAUCCAAGGCUUUGCACAUUCUUCUUACG
rnacentral:lncRNA from 1 species